rnacentral:rRNA from 1 species
AUUGAACGCUGGCGGCAUGCCUUACACAUGCAAGUCGAACGGUAACAGGUCUUCGGAUGCUGACGAGUGGCGAACGGGUGGGUAAUACAUCGGAACGUGCCUAGUAGUGGGGGAUAACUACUCGAAAGAGUGGCUAAUACCGCAUGAGAUCUACGGAUGAAAGCAGGGGAUCGCAAGACCCUGUGCUACUAGAGCGGCCGAUGGCAGAUAAGGUAGUUGGUGGGAUAAAAGCUUACCAAGCCGACGAUCUGUAGCUGGUCUGAGAGGACGAUCAGCCACACUGGGACUGAGACACGGCCCAGACUCCUACGGGAGGCAGCAGUGGGGAAUUUUGGACAAUGGGCGAAAGCCUGAUCCAGCAAUGCCGCGUGCAGGAUGAAGGCCUUCGGGUUGUAAACUGCUUUUGUACGGAACGAAAAGCCCCGGGUUAAUACCCUGGGGUCAUGACGGUACCGUAAGAAUAAGCACCGGCUAACUACGUGCCAGCCGCCGCGGUAA